AACCCCAUAUUUCAUAUUGGGAAGGGCAUCUGCUUUGCAUGCAGAAGGCCCCAGCUUCAAUUCCUGGCAUCUCCA